AUCCUUAACCCACCGAGCUAGGUCAGGGAUCGAACCCGCAUCCUCAUGGAUGUUAGUCGGGUUCGCCAACCACUGAGCCAUGAUGGGAGCUCCAAGCCUCACUCUUAUACUUCCAGUUCUGUGAACCUUAUUCAACUUCACCCUUAAACCUCCUAUGAUGUUCAGGAACCUUAAUAUGACUUCAGGCUGUAAUCUCAGCUGCCAGCUUGAUCUCAUGUCUAACUUGGAUGCAAACAUAAACCACAGUUCUCGCAGCCAGUCCUGAUACUAAAUAGAUCUAAUGUGGGUGGUUUCAGGUCUUUGAAGCAGCCGUAGGGAAUGGUAAGGAUCAGAAGCCCGUGGGCUCGGGACGAGGGCCAAAGGAAGAUGGAGACUGUCCCUUUCUCCUCCACACCCCCACCUCCUGCUACCUCGAGUCUCUGGUUUUCAGAUGCCUGCAGGAGAGCAGAGCUACAUAACGAUCAGACGGAAGGGGGGCCUUGGCUAAUACAAGCACUUGGAGUGGGUCUGGGGUGCAGGGGUGGGAAAGGUGGAGGGCGCAGCAUACCCGGCUGAAUCCCAGCCUGGGAGGAAGAACACUGGGAUCUGGUCCCAGCCCUGCUAUCUCUACUUUGUGACUAUAACCGACUUAGUGACCUUUGACAGAUCAUGUCACCAUCUCAAGGGGGGAAUGAACUUCCUGUUGUCCGAGGCUUCCUGUGUGAGUCAUUAGUUGACAUUAUUUUCCAGUUUUUCCUAAUUAAGUCUAUUCCCCACUCUCCCCGCCUCUGUGCCCCUGCCCGGGGCCCCCUGAGCCCUGAUGCGCUUCGGUCUUUCUCUGAGCUGAUCUCCUCCACUGGGCUGCUCAUUUGAAGCAGGAAUCUUCCAAUCCCUGUGAGCUGAGGCAAUGAAAUCCUCAUUAAACCUAAUAAGAGAUAACUGGCCCAUUUAGCACAAAUUGUCUCCCCAUGUUGGCACUGGGAUGGGAAGCACUGAGAAAGAGGGGGCCGAAACGGGUGGGAAGGAUGGAUCACAGUUGCUCACAGGCAAGGCGGGUGCAUGGUAAACACACCCUGGGAGCCUGUCUUUGCCAAGGUCACUCUUUCCACACCCCUGCCUCAGAGCAGCAUCAGCCUGCCCAAAGCUCUCCCCAGAUAUUUUGGACACACCUCCUCAGUAGACAGUCCCUUCCAGGACCUAGCCUUUAGUCCUUUGCUUCAGGAGCAGCACCGCUCCCUCCGCUAUCCUCUGACACCCCCGCCCUGUCCCAGGAGACUGAUUCCUCAGUCCCCCCUCCCCCAAGGGACCACUAAGGAGUGAUCGGGGCGCUUCAGCUGCUGCUGCUCUUUUUCCUGUUCCCCUCCUACCCCUCACAGGGCAGAUUGGAAUCUCUCCCCAUCACCAUGAAGGCUGUCCUCUGUCUCUGCUGUGAUUCUCAAAAAUUGAGCAUCCUAAAGAAAAGGAGAACAAGAGAAAACAGACUGGUAUAGCAGCAGGAAAGCCCAAGGGCUGAUCUCCGGAAGGACUUACGCAGCCACCUGGGCUGUGAGACACAAGAAUGGAGGAGGAAUGAGGGAAAGCCCGUCUGCUGGGAGAACUUCAGAAGAAGGGGUGCCUCUCUCCUUGCCCUGGGCUGCAGCCUCUGCAGCCGGGGGAGGGACAAACAUGGUGACCUCUGGCUGCUCCUCAGUCUUGGGGUUUCCUUUAUGGUCAGGAUUAUUUUCCAGGCUGAAAAUCAGGAUCUUGGCCUUUCCCUUUUGAAUCUCUGGUUAAGCAGUGGGAACACAAGCCUCCACCCCCUCUAGGGGAAAGAGGACAAUUUAUAGAAUUGUUCUGCUGUUCUUAGCCCUCAUUGAGACAAAGAAUUCAUUUCCGUCUCUCAGGGUGGCUUCUUCUGCUGAUGGCCAUAAAUUGCCUUCCUGCUCACUCCCUGACCUCUUGAUCUCUUAGCUUUUCUGCUCAAAAAAUUAUUAAUAUUUCUCCUAACUCCAUAUGGAACUUCUGGCUGCUUCUCUCCUUUUGGGGGAGGGGGUGAAAUAACAUCCUUAGGGAUGACUCCCUCUGCCUCUGUGCCCUCACGCACGCUUCUCUCCGGACAGGGUCCUGCGCCUGGGGAUGAAGACUAAUUGGGGCAGGAGGAAGACUGGAAGAGUCCCUGCUUGGGGAAGCUCCCAAAAUGAAAAUAAUCACAGCUACCAUUGACUACUCCCUGGGAGCCCAGCACUAGUUCUAAGAGCUAUAUGGAUAUUGACCUAUUUAAUCCUCAUAACCAGCCCCAUAAAGCUGGCGUCAGAAUCUGUGGAAGGUGUUGUAACAGCAUAUAACCAGCAGGGGGCACCGGAGAGCCAUGCGCCUUUGCUCCGGGGCUGAAAUCCAGAAAUCUUGGCGGGUAGAGUUAGGGACCCAGGAAUCUGGGAGGAAAGAAGAGGAGACCUCUCCAGACCAAUACAAUACUGUAAAGUUGUGCAA
rnacentral:lncRNA from 1 species